rfam:Gorilla gorilla gorilla genomic chromosome, chr3, whole genome shotgun sequence
UCUGGGGUAGGGCGGGGGUGCCUUCGCCUCAGA